rnacentral:rRNA from 1 species
CAGUAGCCGCGGGAAUACAGAGGGUGCGAGCGUUAAUCGGAUUUACUGGGCGUAAAGCGUGCGUAGGCGGCUUUUUAAGUCGGAUGUGAAAUCCCUGAGCUUAACUUAGGAAUUGCAUUCGAUACUGGGAAGCUAGAGUAUGGGAGAGGAUGGUAGAAUUCCAGGUGUAGCGGUGAAAUGCGUAGAGAUCUGGAGGAAUACCGAUGGCGAAGGCAGCCAUCUGGCCUAAUACUGACGCUGAGGUACGAAAGCAUGGGGAGCAAACAGGAUUAGAUACUCCUGUAGUCCCUGUCUCUUAUAC